UGCCUAGUACACUGGAGUUCAACACAUUCAGAAAUCAGCCUGCCUCGGUGGUGGUGGGGUUGCUGAACCACACAGCGAGAACAUGGGCCCUGUGUAAAAAGCUCCCAGCCUCCCUGCGUACGGAAGACAGCACUGACCCAGAGCUGAGCAAAGGGCAGGCUACAACCCCUGCCACCUCUGAGCUGGGCCUUUCAGCCACAGCCCCAUGUCAUUCAUGGUUGAAGUCCUGCUGCCGCAGGGCCACACAAGGUUGUUGCAGCGCAAGCCCACUCUGGCCACACUGUGAGUUGGAGAGAGCUUUGAAGCCAUCAAGGAGCUGAACCCCAAAGAGAAGGAUCUGGUCUGAGAAGAAGCCAACCAAGAGGUGCCACAAAGGGAGUGGACAGUGAGAGCCUGGCCCAGCCUGGCAGACAAGGGAUAUGAAAUCGGGGAAGUACAUACACAUCAGUCUUAAAAGGCCAGAGUAGGAAGACCUUGAACUCCUGCUUCAGUUCCCUCCUCUUGAAUAUCAGGAUGGCAUUGAGACCAGCACCUGGGGGCUGCUAUAGAAGCCCUUGAGAUCAUGGAGAAAGCACGAGUUCUUUCAUAUCAAGCUCACCCAGCUCUCUGGUGGUUCCCAGGACACAACCUGUCUGUGAUCCUUUCCCCCUUGACAGAGCAGCAUCUCCCAGGAGGAGAGAUGAAAAAUCCAAAUGCUGCAACUAAACGCUGCCAGGACUGAGGGAAGCCACUUAGCCCUAAUUUCCUUACU
rnacentral:lncRNA from 12 species